rnacentral:rRNA from 1 species
GUGCACGCUGGCGGUAGGCCUAACACAUGCAAGUCGAACGGCAGCACAGUAAGAGCUUGCUCUUACGGGUGGCGAGUGGCGGACGGGUGAGGAAUACAUCGGAAUCUACUUUUUCGUGGGGGAUAACGUAGGGAAACUUACGCUAAUACCGCAUACGACCUACGGGUGAAAGCAGGGGAUCUUCGGACCUUGCGCGAUUGAAUGAGCCGAUGUCGGAUUAGCUAGUUGGCGGGGUAAAGGCCCACCAAGGCGACGAUCCGUAGCUGGUCUGAGAGGAUGAUCAGCCACACUGGAACUGAGAAACGGUCCAGGCCCCUACGGGAGGCAGCAGGGGGGAAUAUUGGACAAGGGGGGCAAGCCUGAUCCAGCCAUACCGCGGGGGUGAAGAAGGCCUUCGGGUUGUAAAGCCCUUUUGUUGGGAAAAAAAAGCAGCAGGUUAAACCCCCGCUGUUCUGACGGUACCAAAAGAAUAAGCACCGGCUAACUUCGG